AAUCAUCUGAUGAGAAAUAUCUGCAAAAACUUACAGAUUUUCCCAAUCUCUAUGAUUGUUUUUGUAUUUAAGUCUCUGAUGAUU
rfam:Spinacia oleracea cultivar SynViroflay scaffold4405.con0002.1, whole genome shotgun sequence.